rnacentral:rRNA from 1 species
AAACCUUACUAAGGUAAGACAUUGAUAUGAUUGACAGAUUACUUGAUCUUUCUUGAUUUGGUGGGUGGUGGUGCAUGGCCGAUCUUAGUUGGUGGGGUGACCCGUCUGGUUAAUUUCGAUAACGAACGAGAUCCGAGCUGUUUAGUUGGCAAGAGGUGUUUUGCAUCGGUCAGUUUCCUAUAUGGACUGUCAGUUGAAAGCUGAAGGAAGUUUCGGGCGAAAU